AUACGUAGGGGGCUAGCGUUAUCCGGAUUUACUGGGCGUAAAGGGUGCGUAGGCGGUCUUUUAAGUCAGGAGUGAAAGGCUACGGCUCAACCGUAGUAAGCUCUUGAAACUGGGGGACUUGAGUGCAGGAGAGGAGAGUGGAAUUCCUAGUGUAGCGGUGAAAUGCGUAGAUAUUAGGAGGAACACCAGUAGCGAAGGCGGCUCUCUGGACUGUAACUGACGCUGAGGCACGAAAGCGUGGGGAGCAAACAGGAUUAGAUACCCUGGUAGUCCACGCCGUAAACGAUGAGUACUAGGUGUCGGGGGUUACCCCCCUCGGUGCCGCAGCUAACGCAUUAAGUACUCCGCCUGGGGAGUACGCUCGCAAGAGUGAA
rnacentral:rRNA from 1 species